rnacentral:rRNA from 1 species
UUGACGGGGCCCGCACAAGCGGUGGAGCAUGUGGUUAAUUCGAAGCAACGCGAAGAACCUUACCAGGUCUUGACAUCCCUGACAACCGAGAGAUCGGGCGUUCCCCCUUCGGGGGGACAGGGUGACAGGUGGUGCAUGGUUGUCGUCAGCUCGUGUCGUGAGAUGUUGGGUUAAGUCCCGCAACGAGCGCAACCCUCGACCUUAGUUGCCAGCAUUCAGUUGGGCACUCUAAGGUGACUGCCGGCUAAAAGUCGGAGGAAGGUGGGGAUGACGUCAAAUCAUCAUGCCCCUUAUGACCUGGGCUACACACGUGCUACAAUGGGCGGUACAAAGGGUCGCGAACCCGCGAGGGGGAGCCAAUCCCGAAAAGCCGGUCUCAGUCCGGAUUGGAGUCUGCAACUCGACUCCAUGAAGUUGGAAUCGCUAGUAAUCGCGGAUCAGCACGCCGCGGUGAAUACGUUCCCGGGCCUU